rnacentral:other from 1 species
CAAAUCCUGAUGUGUUCGUUGCUAAACAUCAGUUUUGACCGAACACCAUUUAUAAGGGAGUCCAACAUCUUUUAGUAGAGAAUAUGCCCUCCGGGGACAUUGAUCGACUAAAUUGAGGACACCCACCUGCUGAGAGCGGGUUUAAACGAUGAUUUAUAAAUGACGGCACAAUUGGGAUUUGU